GAGCUCUGGGCCUGACCAGAUUCCCCCAGCCCCCAUCCCGUCCCUACAGGGCUCCCAGGCCCGGACCUGCGCUGUGCGUGGCCCUCGCCAAAGCUGUCGUUCGGGCUAUUAAUAUUUGCUAUGAAACAAAGACACCCCAAAUUCAGUGGCUUAAAACAACCCUUUUAAUCUCGCACAUUUCUGAGUCCUUCUGACCCACGUGGUGUCUACUGGGGCUGCUGCUUCUGCGGCUCGGCAGGCUGGCAGGCACCGCACGGGGCUGGCCCUCCACGGGCUGGCCUCCCAGCCAGCAGAGACCUCCUUUUUCUUUGUUUUUGGGAAGUGUACCUGGUCCUCAGGUCUUCUGCAGCUCACAGGGAUUGACAUGAUCCUUCCCCAGGAUUUUUCUGCUGUAGGCAGUGGAAAGACUGUCUCUUCCCAUGGGGUCGCCUUCCGGGAAGAUUGUGACUCCAGGCUGCCAGCAGAAUGGCUCACCGGGGGAUGGUUUGAGGGAAAGAAGUAGAGACUUGACUUCUGACACUCACGACCAAGGCUGCUGCCACACUGGAAUAGGAUGGAAAGAGGGCAGGUCCUUUGAAAGGUAUUCCAGAAGAAGUCAUUGUUUUCCAAAGAGGUGACAGCUCCGUGUAUGUUAUUGCCUCUGAAGACCUUCCAGUGGGACAAGAUGUCGAGGUGGAAGACAAUGAUGGUGAUGAUCCUAACCCUGUGUUGGCCUAGGCUAAUGGGUUCCUUGUAAGAACCAGAGAGGGAUAAUGCACGUAAAGAACCCAGUCCUGUGCUGGUCCAUGGCAAGUGCUGAAUUAAUAACAAUGUUAAUUACAACAGAAGCCCACGUGUAUGAUGUCAGGCCCAGAGGAUGAUGUGGAGGAGCAAGAUGAAAAACUGUGCCUCGUUUGAUGAUAUAUGCCAUUGUGAACAGUAGAGAAUAGGUGAUGCCUGUUCUGGACAAAUGGGCCUCAUGUUGGUCAACCGCAGAAGAGACUGCAAAUUCCUGUUUUGGAUGUUACUGGGAGUGCCAGAAGAAUAUGACAUGCGUGUGUCACAUUCAGGAGCCUGUGGGCUCUAGGUUGGAGUGUUGAGACCAUUCCCAUCUGAUGAUGCACUGGAUGAGCGGAUUCAGCACAGCUGUGGGAUGCAUUUUCCGAUGGAAGGCUCCCUGCAAAGUGUUGAGGAAGGUGGUCAGUGCAGUCUUGGGCGUCUGCUCUCAGCUCCACCGGUCUCCAUGUCUCCUCGCACUCCUCACCAGACUCUGCUCCUGGAACCUUCUCACACCAUCUGAGCCAUGGCUGCUUUUUGGGAAAAAAAUCUGCCCUUCAUCACUUACAUCUCAAUGGUACCUUAUGAUGUGGCCUGGUGCGGAGCUCCAGCGGAGGACCUGCCCUGAAGAGAAGUGGCAAUGUCUGGUGACCAGUGUGGAAAACUCCCAACCCAGCCUGUGAGGAAAAGUCUGCAGUCCCAUGUGACCCGGGGGGAUGGGAGUAGCUCCUGCAGGCAAACAAGGGUCAAACAGCAGAAGGAACCCAGAUCCCGGACCUGAAGAUCCACGCUCUGGGUGAAGAGUUUCAUUUCCUCAGCUUGUUAAUCUUUAUUAGAAAAGUCAUUUGGAGGAUUUUAAAAGAGCUUUGAACUCACACAAAACUCAGCCUACAAAAUUGUCAUGUCCUCAGGGAACCCAAAGAAGAAACAUUUGGGAGCAGUUGAUGACAUGGGUCCCUGCCCUCUCCCCUGCUGUCCCUCCCAGAGAACUCUGUGGCUUGAGAGGGGGCAGCAGAGAUCGAAACAGCAGGGGGCCUGGGGGCUCCAUUUAGAGGCCUGUUGCAUGCUGAGCUCAUGCCAGUAUGGAGUACUAUCCUCACUUUACAUGUGAGGACAAGGCAGGGCUCAGGUUAAAGCAAUUGCCAGGGCCACACAGCUGGGAACCUCAGGGUGAGGUGAUUGGAACCCCAUCCUGACCCUGUUCCCUGCAUUGCCCCCUAAAGCCCUUUAAGAUAACCCCCUCACUCCCAGUGCCCCUGACCCAGGAGAGCUUGCCUAAGCAGGUCAUUCUGGGUAGGAAGAUCUGGGGGUAUUUACGGACCUAGGAGCCUCUCAAGAGGCUCUCAGUGCCCGGCAAGAACUGCUGGCUGUGUCUGACAUUUCCCAGUGCAGGAAUAAGACUGCCUGCCUGUGGCUUGGUGAGCCCAAGGGAGGCAGAGAAGGCAGAGGCCAGAAACAAAGGGAAGACUCUCAGGUGCUGGGAGUGCUGUGGGUCCUGGUCCAGAGGAAGCAGGUGCAGGGUGGUGUCACAGGGUCUAUGGGCUGUGUGAGUCCUCGGAGCUUGGAGCAUGGACCUUCAGGCCCCACUCCAGGCUGGAGCAGCCGUUCCCGAAAGCUCCUUCUAUAGCAGGGAAACCCCAUCACUCCAAACAGGCCCUGAGGAACGAAACAUCUGCGCUUAAUUUUUCCUUUCUGUUUCCCUCUCCCCUGGCAUUUGGCUGAAGUCUCCAGGACCAGAUAUGCUUUGUAGGGGAAAGAGCUAAAUCCUCACAGCAAGGCCCUCUUCCCUGUCGACUCCCACCCUGCUCAGCACCUUGGAGAGCCUGGAAGGGCUGGAAAUGGACAGGGUUAAGCUGUGUAGAUAUCGUGGCCGUCGGUCUUCCCAGUAGCCAUGUGUGGCAGGCAUGUCUAUCUCCAUUUCAAAGAUGGAGAAACUGAGGCCUAGGGAGAUUAGAGUGGUUUUCUCCAGGCUGCCUGGUUAGUAACAGGUGAGCAAGGCACUGCCCCAGGUGUCUGACCUCAAGGCCAGUGCUGUCUGCACAGCCACUGCAGAGAGACGAGGGAGGGCCCAAAGGUGGAGUUGUGGGGGCCGUGUGGGGUGCAGUGCCGCAUGCUGCCCAGCUCCUGGGUGGUCCUCCUGCUGCUGUGGGGAGAGUGUGAACCACUGGGGAACCAGGGCUCUGUCAAGAAGGGGUGGAGGGGACUUUUGAGCUGCAUUUUGGGGGACGUGGGGUUGGCCUUCGAGUGGAGACGGGCAGCCCCAAGUUGACAGAGUGGAGACAGCUGCUGCAGAGGAGAGGUGGAUUCCCAAGUCUUGAGGGAACAGAGUUUUCUGACAGGUUGACUUGGAUCACUCAUGUUUGUAAGGAGUGGCUUUCUGACACCUGGAGACUGCAUCUGCCGCAGUGUGGGCCCCAGGCUCAUGGGGAUUCAGGGAGAGUCUCAGCACAGCCCCUAAUCAGCCACGUGGCCUUGGGCAAGUCACUUACCCUCUAGGGAUAAUAACAGAGUUGUAGUCGGACUUAUUUAAAACAGGUGGUGGAAAGUGCUGAGCCCACGCCAGCAGGUAGGAAGCAUGAUUGCCGGUGAUGAGCACUGUUAUUACUGCAGUGGGGUGGGGGUAGGGAGCAGCUUGACAUGGGAGCUCAUCCAGCAGUGAUGGGAUGGUCUGGCUGGUGCUACAGGGGGUAACUGCACUGGGAGAAGGUAGAAACUGAUCACAGUUAAGUCCUCUCUUCUCGUUUUUGAUAAUGCUUUUGAGGAGCUGGGUGAGGCCUGGGCAGGUUACAUGGCCCCCUGGGACCUCAGUUUCUUCCUUUGUAAGCUUUCCGCUCUUGCCAGGGUGAUAGGAUGGCAAUUCAAUCCAACAAGGGUCCUGUUGGUGACUGAGCACUGUGUCUCAGAGGGAGAAGGAAGAAUGGCUUUGUACUGCAGAGGCACGGGGUUAGGAUGGCUUUCCUAGGGCAUGGAGGUUCUGCAGAUUCCUUGGGCUCUGAUCUCAGCCCCUCCACUGGUGUUGGUCUAGGGCCCUUGGCUUGAGAGCCUCAUCUUCCCUGCACUGGGCUCUGGUGCUCACUGAAGCAGAGUGCACAAAACUCCCGGUAAAGGCCUAGUAAUGUGGCUCGGAAUUGGGUCCUCCAGGGUUAUUAGAGCCAUCCGUCUUAAUUAUACUGAAAAUCACUUAUGCGUUUUCCAUGAUAACACUGCAUUAGCAAUUUCCCAGCUCUGAGCCAUCUCCUGGCAGGGCUGUCACUCUCAGGGUGGAGUGUUUUCUGCAAGUCACAGUCACAUUUCUUUGUUCUCCCUCCCUUGGUGGGACGAUGGGCUGGGUAUGACAGAAUCCUUUCCUUGUGGGCCAUAGAUGCAGGGUCAGGCCCUGGGGAGACUGAACCCUCCUGAGUGCGGGGUGGGCACUGCCUGGAUUCUUCACACCGAGCAUGUGAUUCAACCCUUUGCAUAACCCUGGGAGGUCCAUGUGCUUAUUGCCAUUUACAGACAAGAAAACAGAGGCUCAGAGAAGCUAAGAACGUGUCCAAAGCAACUCCCUCAGAAAUGAGGCUUCAGGAAGAAAAACUCUUCUGCUUUCCUUUGAUGUGUUCGAAGAUGCCCCCUCCACCUCCACCCUUCAAUCCCACCGCUGCAGUUUCCAUUCUGGCUUUGCCAGGAAGAUGUGAGAAGAAAUGCUUUCCUCAGGCCAGGUGCCGUGGCUCAUGCGGAUAAUCCCAGCACUUUGGGAGGUUGAGACGAGUGGAUCACCUGAGGUCAGGAGUUUGAGAGCAGCCUGGCAAGCAUGGUGAAACCCUGUCACCACCAAAAAUACAAAAAUUAGCUGGGCGUGGUGGUGGGCACCUGUAAUCCCAGCUACUUGGGAGGCUGAGGCAGGAGAACCUGGGAGAAAAAGCAAAACUCUGUCUCAAAAAAAAGAGGAAAUGCUUUCCUCAUUUGAUGUAUCCUCCCCACAGAGCCCCCAGAAAACAUGCACACAGCACACACACGUACACACACACCCUCUCUCUCUCUCUGUCCCCACCUCCGACAACUCCCUCCUUUGUCUAAUACAGUGUCUUGGUUUCUCUAGAGGGUCAACGGGGAGGGCUAAGGGUGGGUUCCUCACUCGCUACUCACAUGGAGGUGACCCUGAAAGUGACAGAAAAUUGGACCAUGUGCUGACCAAGAAGAAAAUGAACUUGGUGCUGGCCUCAGGAGGCAGGAGCCAGGGCAGACCUGGGAGUAGACCCGGAGAGCGCAUGUCUGUGGGUGCCCCAGUCUGAGGGCUCUGGCCUGAGGGGUUCCUCCUAUGGGUCUUGAGACUACUGGGAACAUAGAAAGCAGAAGCCAAGAGACAAAUAUUGGGAGGGAGAAAAAACAAGACAGACGUCGUGUAUGCCAACCACAUGGCAUUUUGCCUCAGGGGAAAUGAGUGAAGCCUCUGAGCUUUGAAGGGCUUGGGCAGGGAAAAGAGGGGGAAGCGGGGAGGGCCAGCAGGCCCUGAGCGGGGAGGUGUGGAUGGGGAGGGAGGGACAGGGAGAUGGAAAUUGGGUGGAGCCUCUGCCUGCCCUGGGAUCAGCAGGUGGUUUGGAGGAGGCGAUUCUUGUGGGUGAGGAAGUGGGUGGAGGGGGCAAGAGAGGAAAGUCUGGCAGGGAUCAGAUACGAUUCACUGCCAGUGACAGGGUCACCCAGAGGAGGCUGCAGGAAGGCAGGGGCAGAGCCCUGUCUCUCCUGGACAGGAGCAGGUGCAUGGGGAGCGGAGGCCCAGUCGGCGGGUGCAGGCGAGGGGGCGCUAUGGGGCAGCACCACCUGGCAAGCCACGACCACCUGACCACCUGGCGGAAACGGUGUGUUUGGGGCUCUGGUUGAUGGGCCCGACCGGACUAGGGGGUUUGAAGGGUCGGCAUCUUUUGCCUGGUCAGUCCUGUGGGGCCGGGCCAUGCUGGGCACAGAGCCUUUUAUUGCAGCGGGGCUGGGGCCAGACUGGAUGCCUGCUGCUGGAGGGCACUUAGCUUCUCCGGACAUGGCCUGGCUUCUGGGUUCAGCCGCGGGGAGCCCUGAGUUGCAAGGCCGUAGAAGCACUUUCCAGCACAGAUCUUCAGGGGCUGCCCUGUGGGUUGACCCUGACGUCCCCACUUCCCUUUGCAUCCCAGACACCCUGGGCCAGGGGGUGCAGAGUUCAGGGCCUGCAGAGCAUGUCUCCCCAUGAAGCCAUCCUUGGGUGAGUACCAGGAAAGCGGGCUGAUGAAUGGGCUUCCACUCUGAGGUCCUGACAGCUGCCUUCCCUGCUGACUCAGCUCAGGAAAGUUGCCGUGGCAGCAGAAACUUAGCUAAGAGCAGGAAAAUAAGGCACGAGGCCCCAGUGCAGUCUGUGGUGAAGGAGUGAGGUUUGACAGAGGCCCUGAACCCUGGAGGACUUGGGAGGGGCCUGGAACCCCCAUCCUGGUCCACCCCAGCCUGGGAGGGAGCAGCAGCAGCACAAGUCCGUGCCUGGAUGGAGGCUUUAUUUGCCCAGUGCCCCCCCAGGCAUCUGGCUGCCAAACCACGUCACCUUUGGGAGCUGAGAUGUAGGUUUCCUGGUUCCCAUGUGAGGAAUCUGAGGCCCGGGGGAAAUCAUAACACACAUCCAGCAGGGUAGGAUGGACCGGCUGGGCCUGGCGUGGGGCCCACCUGUGCACUUUGCACCCACUGCCUCCUCAGCCCUCACAUCUCCCCUCUUCAGCCUCCCCAACAUGUGGAGGCUGGGGGUGUGCCCAGAGGCUUCCCAGAGAGAUGGUCAGGGCUCUGCAGAGAAACAGAAUCAGUAGGAUAUAUAUCCUACUGAUAUAUGUGUAUAUAUACACACAUAUGAUAUUCUAUCUAUCUAUCUGUCUACCUACCUACCUACCUAACCUACCUACCUAUCUCUGGAGAGAGAGAGGAGAGGAGAGGAGAGGAGAGGAGAGGAGAGGAGAGGAGAGGAGAGGAGAGGAGAGGAGAGGAGAGGAGAGGAGAGGAGAGGAGAGGAGAGAGAGCAGAGGAGAGAGAGCAGAGGAGACAGGUUGACAAGUUCAACUUCUGCAGAGCUGAUAUCCUAACUUGAAGGCCAUCAGGCAGGAGGAAUUCCCCCUUGCUCCACUUAGAGUCAGGUCAAACUUUUCUCCCAUUCAGGCCUUCCAUGGAUAGGAUGAGGCCCAACCACUUAUCGAAAGGAAUCUGUUUUACUCAGCCUACUGAUUUGAUGUUUAUCCACAGACACAUCUAGAAUAAUGUCUGAACAACUAUCUGGGCAUCCUGUGGCUUGGUUGAGUUGACACAUAAAAUAGGCAGAGCUGCUGCAGCUGCCUGGACAUGAGCUCCACCUCUGAUCCUGUUGUUUCAUCUGUAAAGGGGAUGUCGUAAACCUGUGUGAGGCUAACACGUUGACACCUCCUAUGAGCCAUAAUGUGUGUGGUCCAUGGUGGCUCUGUCGGACUCACCCUGGGCAGUGUCCAUCAGCCCUCCCAGAAGGGACCCACACACAGUGUUAUCACUGCUUUUAAGUUCUCACUAACUGUUCCUUGGCCAGAAUGACUGCAGCUGAUGUCUACAGGACUGAAGAUGAUAAGCUGAGAUGACACCUGCUCCCAGGGGCCACAGAGCCACGAUCUGUAGAUCUGUGAGGUCACCAGGACCUCUAGGGUCAGACAGUUCCACAGAGGCUGAUUUUAUCAGAGGGUAGAGGACCUAGGGAGAGUUACGUGCGGGGCUCAAAGCACAUCACAUUUGCUUCCCAGAGAGGGCUUGGGUGCUUCCCUUUUCUUUAUGGUAAUGGGUCCAAGUCUGGGCUCAAUGUGUAGCCCACAGGUCUCUGUACUGGUCAAGGAGGUGACACCAGCGGUCUGUUGGUCCCACACCUCCUGCCCUGAUGUGUCCCAGAACCAAAUCUGGUGUGAGAAUGCCAGACCUGUCCUUAUGUCUGUGAAAGAUUUAAAGUGUUUUGAAACCAACUAUGUAGAGCUUCCAGAGGGGAAUAGAUGGCAUAUUGACACAGAAACAGCUAACUGGGACCAGCUGCACCCUUCACUCACCAUCACCUGCGCCAUCAAGAGGAAUGACAUUGUAGGGAACAAGGUGAGGGCCAUGGGAGCUCUGAACCUGGAAAUGUGCUGGUCACCACCAUUCUGGACAAGAGCCUGCUUGUUCCCCCGCACCUGCAGAAAUCAGCUUCCCUGUUGACUGGGGCACAAAUCUGUAAUAGCCACAUACCUGCCCUCGGGGUACAGUCUUACUGGGAGCCCUAGACCUGCCCAUAGGAGGCCAUUCUAGACACAGCCAUGAACACAGAGCAGAGUUCCGACUACAGGCCACCAGAGACCAGCUUCCCGCACAGCUCUAGGCCUCAGCAAGCCAGAGUCACCCUGAGCUAUAUUUACUUGCCUCCAACAUGGUCCCUGCCCUAUCUAUGCAUCUUGCAUUUUCUCUAAGUAUCCGACAUCCAAAACAGGGCUGGGCAUAGUGUAGGCAGGCAGGAAUGUUUAGUGUGUGAAUGGAUGAAUGGAUGGAUG